AUUGAACGCUGGCGGCAUGCCUUACACAUGCAAGUCGAACGGUAACAGGUCUUCGGAUGCUGACGAGUGGCGAACGGGUGAGUAAUACAUCGGAACGUGCCCGAUCGUGGGGGAUAACGGAGCGAAAGCUUUGCUAAUACCGCAUACGAUCUACGGAUGAAAGCAGGGGACCGCAAGGCCUUGCGCGAACGGAGCGGCCGAUGGCAGAUUAGGUAGUGGGUGGGAUAAAAGCUUACCAAGCCGACGAUCUGUAGCUGGUCUGAGAGGACGACCAGCCACACUGGGACUGAGACGCGGCCCAGACUCCUACGGGAGGCAGCAGUGGGAAUUUUGGACAAUGGGCGCAAGCCUGAUCCAGCAAUGCCGCGUGCAGGAUGAAGGCCUUCGGGUUGUAAACUGCUUUUGUACGGAACGAAAAGGCUCUGGUUAAUACCUGGGGCUCAUGACGGUACCGUAAGAAUAAGCACCGGCUAACUACGUGCCAGCCGCCGCAGUAAUAC
rnacentral:rRNA from 1 species